GGAGGAUCCGAGCGUUAUCCGGAUUUAUUGGGUUUAAAGGGAGCGUAGGUGGACAGUUAAGUCAGUUGUGAAAGUUUGCGGCUCAACCGUAAAAUUGCAGUUGAUACUGGCUGUCUUGAGUACAGUAGAGGUGGGCGGAAUUCGUGGUGUAGCGGUGAAAUGCUUAGAUACCACGAAGAACUCCGAUUGCGAAGNCAGCUCACUGGACUGCAACUGACACUGAUGCUCGAAAGUGUGGGUAUCAAACAGGAUUAGAUACCCUGGUAGUCCACACAGUAAACGAUGAAUACUCGCUGUUUGCGAUAUACAGUAAGCGGCCAAGCGAAAGCAUUAAGUAUUCCACCUGGGGAGU
rnacentral:rRNA from 1 species